GACUGGAGAACUUGUUAGAGCACCUGGUGGCUGCCUUCCAGGGUGGGGACUUCUCUUUCAUCACCAACUUCCUACACAGCUACAGAGAUUUGGCCACCACCCAAGAGGUCUUGGAUCUGCUCUUCACAUGGGCCAUCCAAUUCAUUCUGAGCACUUGGUUAUGCAAGUUCUCAGAGGAUUUCUGUCAGCCCCCAGACUUUCCCGGUCUCAAUGUGGUGGUGGCCUACAUAAGGCUGAAUCUGCCUGGCUCAGAGCUGGAGAAGGUUGCCCAGCUUCUUCUUUCCCAGCAUGAGUGUCUGGAGUUGGUUCGGAGAGAACCAGAAGUUCCAACACCAUCUCCAGAGCCAGGCUUAAAACCAGCCCUUGAACUAGGGAUUCCUGCAGCCCCACAUCUGGCACCAGAUCCAGCAUCAGAUCCAGCUCCGAGUGUGGAGGCCGCUCAAGUUUUAGAGGCACCUCUAGGGUCUGCUCUAGUUCUCACUCAGAUGGCUCCUCAAGAAGUAGAGAGUGAGGGAGUCUCACCCUCUCCCAACACAAGUCAUCCCCCAAGAGAGGCCCUUUCCAGUGAGUGAGGGGGCCCAGCUGGACACUGUUAAGGUCUAAUCUGAGGACACUGCUUCUGGGUUUUUGGACAGAAGAGACAGGGUAUAGUGGGGAGGGAGUGUUGACGGGAGGUGGGAGGCAGAAUUAAUUUCUGUAUAAAGGGAUAAAAUAUUAACCAAUUAGUUAGGGUCAAUAUUUUUGUUG